CAGCCGCCGCGGGAAAACGGAGGGUGCAAGCGUUAAUCGGAAUUACUGGGCGUAAAGCGCACGCAGGCGGUCUGUCAAGUCGGAUGUGAAAUCCCCGGGCUCAACCCGGGAACUGCAUUCGAAACUGGCAGGCUAGAGUCUUGUAGAGGGGGGUAGAAUUCCAGGUGUAGCGGUGAAAUGCGUAGAGAUCUGGAGGAAUACCGGUGGCGAAGGCGGCCCCCUGGACAAAGACUGACGCUCAGGUGCGAAAGCGUGGGGAGCAAACAGGAUUAGAUACCCCUGUAGUCCCUGUCUCUUAUAC
rnacentral:rRNA from 1 species